rnacentral:rRNA from 1 species
AUUGAACGCUGGCGGCAGGCCUAACACAUGCAAGUCGAACGAGUGGCGGACGGGUGAGUAAUGUCUGGGAACCUGCCCGAUGGAGGGGGAUAACUACUGGAAACAGUAGCUAAUACCGCAUACCAUCGGAUGUGCCCAGAUGGGAUUAGCUAGGAGGUGGGGUAACGGCUCACCUAGGCGACGAUCCCGAGCUGGUCUGAGAGGAUGACCAUCCACACGGGAACUGAUCCACGGACCAGACGCCUACGGGAGGCAGAAGUGGGGAAUAUUGCACAAUGGGCGCAAGCCUGAUGCAGCCAUCGCGGGUGUAUGAAGAAGGCCUUCGGGUUGUAAAGUACUUUCAGCGAUGAGGCGGUACUCGCAGAAGAAGCACCGGCUAACUCCGUGCCAGCAGCCGCGGUAAUUG